rnacentral:rRNA from 1 species
AUGAUUUAUUACUUCUCUGCUAAAUAUUUCCCUGCUCAUAAGAAACAAGCUGCUUUAAGGGAUAUAUAUAAUUUUGUGCAAAUUGAAGAAGAGAGUCUCCCACAAGCUUGGGGGAGGCUUCUCCAAUUACUUAAUGCUUUGCCUGAUCAUCUUCUUAAGAAAAAUGAAAUACUUGAUAUCUUUUAUAAUGGACUAACCGAUGCCUCCAGAGAUUACCUGUAUAGUUGUGCUGGUUCUCUUUUCAGGGAAAGAACACCAGAUGAAGCUGAAAUUCUAUUGGAUAAUAUGUUGACAAAUGAAAAUAAUUGGACACCUUUGGAGCCAAUUCCUGAGCCUAUUCCUAAACCAACUCCGAAGAAGAGGGGUAUUCUAUUUCUCAGUCCUGAAGAUAUGCAAGAGGCAAAGAAAUCUAUGAAAGAAAAGGGUAUUAAAGCUGAAGAUGUUAAGAAUUUACCUCCUAUUGAAGAAAUACAUGGUCUUAAUUUACCGCCUCUUGAAGAAACAUAUAAUCCAAAUCCUUCUCCUAUUGAAGAAACUCAUGGUCUUGAUAACCCGACACAGGUAGUAAAGGUAAGUUCUCUCUAUAGAUAUGAUAAAGCUGUAAUCCCAUUUACUAAGUUUGCUAGCCCAUGCUUAGAUGAGUUUGAUAAAUUUAUGGCUAAACAAGAAGAUUUUAAUGCUUAUUUUGGUAGACAAUUGAAAUACAAUUCAAAUAUGCUUGAACACUUGGGUGAUUAUAUGGCUAAUGUUAAAGGUGAACUUAAACUUAUUAGUAAACAUGCUUCUAUGGUUACCACUCAGGUAGAACAAGUACUUAAAGCUCAAAAUGAUUUGCUCAAUGAAUUGAAUAGUAAAGAUAAUGGUAAUGCUGUUAGAGUUAUGACUAGAGGUGGUAAAAUGACUAAGGAACCUUUGUAUCCCGAAGGCCAUCCUAAGAGAAUUGAGCAAGAUUCUCAGAGAAAUAAUAUAGAUGCACCUAGU